rnacentral:rRNA from 1 species
AGAGUUUGAUCAUGGCUCAGGAUGAACGCUAGCGGCAGGCUUAAUACAUGCAAGUCGAGGGGCAGCGCAGGUAGCAAUACUGGGCGGCGACCGGCAAACGGGUGCGGAACACGUACAGAACCUUCCUUUAAGCGGGGGAUAGCCCAGAGAAAUUUGGAUUAAUACCCCAUAGUAUUGUUGGUUGGCAUCAACCGGUAAUUAAAGAUUUAUCACUUAAAGAUGGCUGUGCGGCUGAUUAGGUAGUUGGUGUGGGUAAUGGCCUACCAAGCCUUCGAUCAGUAACUGGUGUGAGAGCACGACCAGUCACACGGGCACUGAGACACGGGCCCGACUCCUACGGGAGGCAGCAGUAAGGAAUAUUGGUCAAUGGACGCAAGUCUGAACCAGCCAUGCCGCGUGAAGGAUGAAGGCCCUCUGGGUUGUAAACUUCUUUUAUCUGGGAAGAAAUGCCUGCUUUUUAGCGGGUUUGACGGUACCAGAGGAAUAAGCACCGGCUAACUCCGUGCCAGCAGCCGCGGUAAUACGGAGGGUGCAAGCGUUAUCCGGAUUCACUGGGUUUAAAGGGUGCGUAGGUGGGAAUGUAAGUCAGUGGUGAAAUCUCCGUGCUUAACAUGGAAACUGCCAUUGAUACUAUGUUUCUUGAAUCUUCCGGAGGUCAGCGGAAUAUGUCUGUAGCGGUGAAAUGCUUAGAUAUGACAUAGAACACCAAUUGCGAAGGCAGCUGACUACAGGAGCAUUGACACUGAGGCACGAAAGCGUGGGGAUCAAACAGGAUUAGAUACCCUAGUAGUCC